rnacentral:rRNA from 1 species
UACGUAGGGUGCGAGCGUUAAUCGGAAUUACUGGGCGUAAAGUGUGCGCAGGCGGCCGCGCAAGUCGAGUGUGAAAUCCCCGAGCUUAACUUGGGAAUUGCGCUCGAAACUACGUGGCUGGAGUGUGGCAGAGGAAGGUGGAAUUCCACGUGUAGCAGGUGAAAUGCGUAGAGAUGUGGAGGAACACCGAUGGCGAAGGCAGUGUCCUGGCGAGUGACUGACGCUGAGGUGCGAAAGCCAGGGGAGCGAACGGG